GUCAGUAACCCAGCCCUAAAGGGACUGGGCUUGCAAGAGUAAUCAAGCAAGCCGUACUGACCAGACCACCCUGAGCGUUGUCGAAGGGUAGCCGUUAUUUGAGUCACGACACCUCGGAAUGCGAAGCUAGUUCCCCGCUCUGUCGCUUGUAAUUAAACAGUUCUAAGGUCACUGGAACAGUGUUGCAAGCCUAACAAGCUCUUAUAACAGGUCGAAGCUAACAUUACCCCAGAAAUGGG
rnacentral:sRNA from 1 species